UUUGGUAGGUGAAGUCGUAACAAGGUUUCCGUAGGUGAACCUGCGGAGGAUCAUUA
rnacentral:rRNA from 1 species